rnacentral:lncRNA from 1 species
UCUUCAUUGACACUUCCGGUUCCCAGGUCCUUGACGUUGUCUCUCUUUUCCUGUUUUUUGGGCGGAGUAAACCAGACGCGCGCUCUUUGAGUCGAUGAAGAAACAGAGAAGAGUCGAAGUGCUUAAGCGGCUGACAGAUCCAGAGCGGAUUAAUUUUGAGCUUCACGACUUAGUGACUAUGUGUCAUUGUGACUGUACUGUUUAGAUCAAAAUGUCUGGUAAAGCAAAUACUUCUAAGAAAAAAUCUCAACGGGUGAAAAGAAAUGUAAAACAAAGAGCCGAUAAAGAAGAUGAGGAAUUGGAUUCACCAGAGAAUAAGGUUGGAAACAGAGCGAAAAGAAACAGAAGUCAUGCAGGACAUCUGUCCUCUAAAGUAACAGAACAAACAAAAUGUGUUCAUCUAAAACGGGUGAAAAUAUCAUCCAACAAGAGAACAGCCUGGCAACCUCUUCCAAAGAAUACUGAAGAGUAUUUGCAAAGUAUGAUGGACUCAGCAAUUCUUGGAAUUUUAAACAAAAACAUUAAAAGAAAAGAACAAAUUCAGUAUCAUCUCGACCAGUUGAAGAAAAGAUUUCUGCAACAGUGUGCAACACUGAAAGUCCCCCCAGGAAAGCUCAACUAUUUAAGAGAUAUGUCAAAGCUGCUGAAGGUGGAAAGGGAACAGGAAAGGGCGAAUGAGGAGAGCCUGGCUUCACUGCAGGUGAACUCACUGCAGUCCUGCCCCAGCAUGGUGAGUGCUAGGAUUACAGGUGUGAGUUUCACAUCUGGCCCAAAGGUGUGCAACUUACCUGUAUUAAUACUUCAAAGCUGAUGUCUCUGCAGAACAAUUACCCUCUGUUAUCUACUUUAAACUAGCCUUUGUGGGCUUAUCAUUAGUAUCUAAUGUCCUGAAAACAUAGCAGUCACCAAAUCUAGUAAAUCCAUAGAAAGAGAGAGAUAUUUCCUAAAACCAUGCACUGAGAAUUAUUUUCAAAAAUAAAAAAAAUGUCAUGAUGUAAUA